GAUACAGCGCAGUGGCGGC
rnacentral:misc_RNA from 1 species